GCGGCCCCUGGACAAGACUGACGCUCAGGUGCGAAAGCGUGGGGAGCAAACAGGAUUAGAUACCUGGUAGUCACGCUGUAAACGAUGUCGAUUUGGAGGUUGUUCCCUGAGGAGUGGCUUCCGGAGCUAACGCGUUAAAUCGACCGCUGGGGAGUACGGCCGCAAGGUUAAAACUCAAAUGAAUUGACGGGGGCCCGCACAAGCGGUGGAGCAUGUGGUUUAAUUCGAUGCAACGCGAAGAACCUUACCUACUCUUGACAUCCAGAGAAUUUAGCAGAGAUGCUUUAGUGCCUUCGGGAACUCUGAGACAGGUGCUGCAUGGCUGUCGUCAGCUCGUGUUGUGAAAUGUUGGGUUAAGUCCCGCAACGAGCGCAACCCUUAUCCUUUGUUGCCAGCACAUUAUGGUGGGAACUCAAAGGAGACUGCCGGUGAUAAACCGGAGGAAGGUGGGGAUGACGUCAAGUCAUCAUGGCCCUUACGAGUAGGGCUACACACGUGCUACAAUGGCGUAUACAAAGAGAAGCGACCUCGCGAGAGCAAGCGGAACUCAUAAAGUACGUCGUAGUCCGGAUUGGAGUCUGCAACUCGACUCCAUGAAGUCGGAAUCGCUAGUAAUCGUAGAUCAGAAUGCUACGGUGAAUACGUUCCCGGGCCUUGUACACACCGCCCGUCACACCAUGGGAGUGGGUUGCAAAAGAAGUAGGUAGCUUAACCUUCGGGAGGGCGCUUACCACUUUGUGAUUCAUGACUGGGGUGAAGUCGUAACAAGGUAACCA
rnacentral:rRNA from 1 species